GACGAACGCUGGCGGCGUGCUUAACACAUGCAAGUCGAACGGAAAGGCCCUGCUUUUGUGGGGUGCUCGAGUGGCGAACGGGUGAGUAACACGUGAGUAACCUGCCCUUGACUUUGGGAUAACUUCAGGAAACUGGGGCUAAUACCGGAUAGGAGCUCCUGCUGCAUGGGGGGGGUUGGAAAGUUUCGGCGGUUGGGGAUGGACUCGCGGCUUAUCAGCUUGUUGGUGGGGUAGUGGCUUACCAAGGCUUUGACGGGUAGCCGGCCUGAGAGGGUGACCGGCCACAUUGGGACUGAGAUACGGCCCAGACUCCUACGGGGGGCAGCAGUGGGGAAUAUUGCACAAUGGGCGGAAGCCUGAUGCAGCAACGCCGCGUGCGGGAUGACGGCCUUCGGGUUGUAAACCGCUUUCGCCUGUGACGAAGCGUGAGUGACGGUAAUGGGUAAAGAAGCACCGGCUAACUACGUG
rnacentral:rRNA from 1 species